rnacentral:tRNA from 1 species
GCGGCUAUGGCGGAACUGGUAGACGCGCUAGACUUAGAAUCUAGUGAGGAGACUCGUGGAGGUUCAAGUCCUCUUAGCCGCACCA